GUGUUUAGUAUAGUGAAGUGUUUAGUGUUUAGUAUAGUGAAGUGUUUAGUGUUUAGUGGAGUGUGUGUUGUGAGUGACAUUCUGUGUCCUGUCCUUCAGUCAUCACCAUCCUCAAUGGGAAGGUGGAGGAGGUGGAACUGCCAGUGGAGAAGGUUGACAUCAUCAUCUCAGAGUGGAUGGGCUACUGUCUCUUCUACGAGUCUAUGCUCAAUACGGUCAUCUUUGCCAGGGACAAAUGGCUAAAGCCUGGAGGGCUGAUGUUUCCUGACAAGGCUGCCCUGUAUGUGGUGGCCAUCGAGGACAGGCAGUACAAGGACUUCAAGAUACACUGGUGGGAGAACGUGUAUGGUUUUGACAUGACCUGCAUCCGUAACGUGGCCAUGAGAGAGCCCCUGGUGGACGUGGUGGACCCCAAACAGGUGGUGACCAACGCCUGCCUAGUCAAGGUCAGUGUGUGUGUGUGUGUGUGUGUGUGUGUGUGUGUGUGUGUGUGUGUGUGUGUGUGUGUGUGUGUGUGUGUGUGUGUGUGUGUGUGUGUGUGUGUGUGUGUGUGUGAUAAUGGCUGACCCUGGCCGUGACCCUACUCUCAGGGGGAGUUGGGAUUGUAACGGGUUUCGUCCUCUUCGUCUGACGAGGAGUAGCAAGGAUCGGGCCAAUACGCAGCGUGGUAAGUGUCCAUAUUGAUAUUUUUAUUAAAUCAAACAGAACACUGAACGAAAUAACAAAAGUACAAACAAACCCGAAACAGUCCCGUAUGGUGAAAACACUAACACAGGAUACAACCACCCACAAAACAUAAAGGAAAACAGGCUACCUAAAUAUGGCUCCCAAUCAGAGACAACGACUGACACCUGCCUCUGAUUGGGAACCAUACUAGGCCAAACACAUAGAAAAAGACAACCUAGACAUACAACAUAGAAUGUCCACCAACAUCACACCCUGACCAAACAAAACAUAGAAACAUACAAAGCAAUCUGUGGUCAGGGUGUGACAGGGAUAUGCAACAGCAACAAAACAUCUAAAUCUUGUGUAUAAUACACACUUGUUAUUAUUUAUUGCCUGAAUCCAGACUAAAAAAAAUGAUUUCCAAAAUUGAAGUGUCACAGAGAGACUACAAGCCAAGAAUUAUGAUGAGCCCUAAAUGGGUUCCGUGUCCCUGUCUGUGAUUUGCAUGUCAAUGAAUGUGUCUAGACAGUACAGACUUCACAGUGGGACCCAUGCCAGCCACCGUAUCUGAGCCAUAAAUAGGCCUGGCACUCCCGGGUCUGUGUGACACAUUUGGAUUUAACACUGCUGUCUUGUCCUGUCCAAUGACGGCCUGUCUGUCCUGUCCAAUGAUGGCCUGUCUGUCCUGUCCAAUGAUGGCCUGUCUGUCCUGUCCAAUGUCACAUCAAUCAUCCAAAAGAGAGAAUAUAUCCUCCAUUUCAAAAUGUGAGGCAUGAUAUGAGAUGCUGUGUGAAUUAUCUUCAGGAG